UUUAGUGGCAUGUCCUGGACCCGAAGCGGGGUCCCUUUCCGAACCCGGAAGCUAAGCCCGAUUGCGCUGAUGGUACUGCACCUGGGAGGGUGUGGGAGAGUAGGUCGCCGCCAACC
rnacentral:rRNA from 1 species